rnacentral:misc_RNA from 1 species
CCUGAAGCGGCCGUCGGCGGCCCGAUCGGCCUGAUCCGCGACGGUGACAUCAUCGAGCUCGAUGCGGUCAACGGCACGCUCAAUGUCAAACUGACCGAUGCCGAACUGGCCGAGCGCAGGAAGGCGUGGAAGCCGCGUGAAACCUCGGUCGGUUCCGGCGUGCUUUGGAAAUAUGCCCAGCAGGUGGGACCGGCGGUCAAGG